UACGGGGGGGGCAAGCGUUGUUCGGAAUUAUUGGGCGUAAAGGGCUCGUAGGCGGUUUUAUAAGUCAGGCGUGAAAGCCCCGGGCUCAACCCGGGAAUUGCGUUUGAUACUGUAAAACUAGAGUGCGAGAGAGGAAAGUGGAAUUCCUAGUGUAGAAGUGAAAUUCGUAGAUAUUAGGAGGAACACCAGAGGCGAAGGCGGCUUUCUGGCUCGCAACUGACGCUGAGGCGCGAAAGCGUGGGGAGCAAACAGG
rnacentral:rRNA from 1 species